rnacentral:lncRNA from 1 species
UAAUUCUUGAAGGUUGGGAUAACUUCGUAGGUCCUUGGGGAUUCUGGGUAGCCUUAUGUUAGCUCUGGUACAAACCAAGGUUGGCUUUUGGGCUUGCCUUGGGCAGGAAGUUCCUAUGCUUGGGCGUUACCUUCUCACCACAUGCAUGCUUCCUUGUUUUCCUGGAGUCUGUCUUCUGAGGAAAGUAUUUCCUUGCACAUCUCUCUAAAGAGGAGACGACGUUUGCUGCUACUCCUUGAGCCGCUUCAUACCUAUAGUGCCUGGACGCUUUGGAAAUGGGACCCGUUGGGUAGCCAUAGUCACAGGCUUGUAGGAGUGUGUGUGUGUGUCUCCACAGCUGAUGACACACAUGCCCACACUCUCUUAUGGUUUCUCCUUGAAAAAUCAGAUGGGGAAGCGAGAUGUUGCAGGAGCAGUAGCUGAGCUCUCUCAUUGGGAAGGAUAUUGAAGUGGUUGAGAAGGACUCCACAUCUGUGAUCCCUGGCAAGUCGGUUCCAUUCCUGUGGCCUUGUUUUCUAGUGGGUGGUAUUGGAAUUAGAGAUCCAAGGAAUUUGGCAAACUUGAAAGUAUGUGUUUAAGGAGGGCCUGAAACAGAGUAUCACAUAAGAACAAAAGAAAAGCCUUCUUUGUCUGUGAUUGACAGAUAAAGUUUCAGCAAGGCUUAAACUGAUGCAUAGCUGGUGUUAUAACACUGGUAGGAAGGGGUGGUGGUGAGGUAGGGGUGGAGAGAGUGGGGAUGUGGGGAGGGGCACUGUUAUCUGGUCCUUUUAGGUCCUUUGCUUGCCCAAGCCAAUCUUGAGAGUUUGUCUUCUAGAAAAAAUGUUCAGUUAUCCACAAGUUCCACUCUCACACUAAAAAUCUAGAAGCCCUAUCUGUGAAACUAUCAAGUUGUCAGAUAAAGGAGUAUGCUUCUUUUGACACAACUCUAUUUGAUAAUUAAUUAAUUAUCAAUGUUAGAGAUUAAGCCCAGGGGGAAGUGCUUUACUAAUGAGCCACAUCUCCAGCCCCUCAAAUCUAGUCUUUAAAGUAGAAAAGCAUGUAUAAGCCUAUAAAUAAGAUCACUCUGUUUGUGGAUAUCGGUCUGUAUGCCUUUUCUAAUAUUAUAGUUUGUCCCCUGCCCAAAUCCUGUCUAAACAGAACAGACAGUAUAGAAAAUACACAUAAAGUAUGAUUAUUUAAGCUGUAAUUAUGUUCUCAUUUUUUUAAAAAAGUGGCUGGUGUUCCCACAUAUCAUAUUAAGUAAGCAAAAUAUUGUUGGCUGGCAAUUAUAAACGGGACAGUUUAUUAUGUUUAUUUAUUUGUGGGAAUGGGUGGUUGGGGGUUGCUGCGUGCACAAGCCUGGAGGGCAGAGGACACCUUGCAAAAGUUCAUUCUCUCCUUCCUUCAUGUGGCACCCAGAAAUGGAGCUCAGGUGGUCAGACUUGGUAGCAAGCACCAUCCUUACUGAGCUGUCUCGACAGCUCUAGAUUUGAUAGCUCAUUAAGAAGCAAAUAAUGUGCCCCACCUGGGGAUCCAUUACAUAAACAACCACCAAACCCAGACACUAUUGCAUAUGCCAGCAAGAUUUUGUUGACAGGAUCCCGAUAUAGCUGUCUCUUGUGAGGCUAUGCCAGUGCCUGGCAAAUACAGAAGUGGAUGCUCACAGUUAGUUAUCUAUAGGAUGGAACACAGGGUCCCAAUGGAGGAGCUAGAGAAAGUACCCAAGGAUCUGAAGGGGUCUGCAACCCUAUAGGGAGAACAACAAUAUGAACUAACCAGUACCCCAGAGCUCGUGUCUCUAGCUGCAUAUGUAGCAGAGGAUGGCUUAGUCGGCCAUCAUUGGGAGGAGAGGCCCUUGGUUUUGUGAAGAUUGUAUGCCCCAGUACAAGGGAAUUCCAGGGCCAGGAAGCAGGAGUGGGUGAGUUGGGGAGCAGAGCAGGGGGAGGGUAUAGGGGACUUUAGGGAUAGCAUUUGAAAUGUAAAUGAAAAAAUUUAAUGACAAAAAUUUGAUGAAUAAAUAAGAAAGGGAAAAUGAAAAAAAGAAGCAAAUAAUGAUAUUAUUAUAAAGAAGAACUGAGCUUGCUUAGGGUAAUCUCAAAAAUUCCAGGGAUACACUGUAUUUUCUAUAGACAUUUAAAAUACUUUAUCAGUUAAUGUGAGCAUAUAGGCAUUUAUUAAUCUUAUUUUUGCCCCCUUUUUCAGUAUACCCCACCCAAAUUCACUUUUUAAAACAUAGUAAAGGUAUAAACAAAUGGGCUUCACAUGUAUAAAACUGAAUGGAGAAACUUCCUCGAGAAAACAGAUUAAUAAAACAAGACAAUAAAAAGAAAGAAACCUUUGUUACCUCCAUUCCAAAUAAUUUUAUCCCAGUGCUCUGAAAUUGGCUGUGCACUUUUUGCUUAAUUAUAUGAAGUUUCUUGUCCCCCCUCCCCCUUCCGCUCUGGAAAUCAUUUUUCUCUUGGAUUUUGUAGAUGCUGCUAUUUGCGUGCUGCUGACAUUUUGAUUCAUUUUUUAAAAAAAUUAAUUUAUUUACUUAUGUGCAUUGGUGUUUUGUCUAUGUGUGCGUGUGUGUGUUGUGUGUGUGUGUCAGGGCCCCUGAAACUAGAGUUACAGACAAUUGUGAGCUUCCAUGUGGGUGCUGGGAAUUGAACCCAGGUCAUCUGGAAGAGUGACCAAUGCUCUAAAUUGCAGAGCCAUCUUUCCAGCCACCAACAUUUUACUUCUUAGCUUGGAGAACAGGAGGAGUUUUUCCUCAAACUUCUCAACUCUGGAAGAUGUAAGACAAUUUUCUAAAGAGAACGUUAGCUAAAUAAAGGAGUGAAAAGUUGAUUUGACGUUGAAGUUAUUACAUUAAAAGUGGCCAUUUGCUAUUUUAUGCUUAACAUUUAAAAGAGUGUGCUAUUGCAAUAGUAAAUCAUAGGAAAAGGACUGGGGCAGGUUUGCAGGUGGGGACUGAGACACAACCUGGGACUCAAUUAACUGCAUCCAAGGCUCAAAAAAACGUGCGUUUCUUCUACUGGGCCUAGCCCAGAGACUGUGCCUGCCCACGUAGUGUAAUUCAUAAUGAAGGCAUGGAGACAGGAAAGGAAAACUGGCCUGGGGCCUAGGGAGCUCUGAGGACCCCGAAGUCUGUAGGUUUUGUAGAACUUAUGUUUUAAAAAACAAUCUGUUGAGGUUUAGAAAUGUCAUGCAUUACCCAAAAUAUACAAUAGGAAUGCUUCUUCAUGGAAGUCAGGAAGCAGAUCUCACGCCAGUCGGCUGCACUCCUACCCCUGGUGUUGCUCAGAAAACAAACCAAACAAACAAACAACAACAAACUCUGCGAGGGUAUAAACUUUACCAAAGAUUAAAGCUUAGAUUUUGAUAUGUUUUAAACUUGGAAUUAGUGGACAUAAUCUAGUCAUAAGGAAAUGAGCAAACGACAUUCCUCAUCUACUGAAAAGUUGUUUAGCAGCUGGGCAGUGAUGGCUCAGGCCUUUAACCCAGAACUCGGGAGGCAAAAUCAGGCAGAUUGAGGCCAGCUUGUUCUACAGAGUAAUUUCCAGGACAGCCAGGACUACACAGAGAAACCUUGUCUGGAAAAAACGG